rnacentral:rRNA from 1 species
GACGAACGCUGGCGGCGUGCUUAAUACAUGCAAGUCAACUGAACUUGAGGUAGCAAUAUCACAAGAGAGGUGGCGCACGGGUGAGUAACACGUAGGUAAUCUGCCUUUAGGUCUGACAUAAUUCCGCGAAAGCGGGACUAAUAUCAGAUGAUGCAGCGGCUCGACAUCGAGACAGUUGUUAAACCUUCGGGGCCGUAAAGAUGAGCCUGCGUCUGAUUAGGUAGUUGGCGGAGUAAAAGACCCACCAAGCCUGCGAUCAGUAGCUGGUCUGAGAGGAUGAUCAGCCACACUGGAACUGAGACACGGUCCAGACUCCUACGGGAGGCAGCAGUAAGGAAUAUUGCUCAAUGGCCGAAAGCUGAAGCAGCAACGCCGCGUGGAGGAUAGAAAUUACUUUUGUAU